CUGUUUGCAGACAGUUCAGACCCAGACUGUGCUUUUCUUAUAAGAAUGAUAAAGGUGGUACCACAGUUGAAUACUUAAGAGUGGUGUUAGGUUCAAAGUUAACUUUAGCUGUUUGCAGACAGUUCA